CCCUCAUAUACUAAAAUUGGAAUGAUACUGAGAAGAUUAGCAUGGCCCCUGUGCAAGGAUAAUCAUUUCUUUUAAACAAACAUGAGGAUGGU
rnacentral:snRNA from 1 species